rnacentral:rRNA from 1 species
AGAGUUUGAUCCUGGCUCAGGACGAACGCUGGCGGCGUGCUUAACACAUGCAAGUCGAACGGAAAGGCCCUUCGGGGUACUCGAGUGGCGAACGGGUGAGUAACACGUGGGUGAUCUGCCCUGCACUUUGGGAUAAGCCUGGGAAACUGGGUCUAAUACCGAAUAGGACCGCGCUCUUCAUGGGGUGUGGUGGAAAGCUUUUGCGGUGUGGGAUGGGCCCGCGGCCUAUCAGCUUGUUGGUGGGGUAAUGGCCUACCAAGGCGACGACGGGUAGCCGGCCUGAGAGGGUGACCGGCCACACUGGGACUGAGAUACGGCCCAGACUCCUACGGGAGGCAGCAGUGGGGAAUAUUGCACAAUGGGCGCAAGCCUGAUGCAGCGACGCCGCGUGAGGGAUGACGGCCUUCGGGUUGUAAACCUCUUUCAAUAGGGACGAAGCGCAAGUGACGGUACCUAUAGAAGAAGGACCGGCCAACUACGUGCCAGCAGCCGCGGUAAUACGUAGGGUCCGAGCGUUGUCCGGAAUUACUGGGCGUAAAGAGCUCGUAGGUGGUUUGUCGCGUUGUUCGUGAAAACUCACAGCUUAACUGUGGGCGUGCGGGCGAUACGGGCAGACUAGAGUACUGCAGGGGAGACUGGAAUUCCUGGUGUAGCGGUGGAAUGCGCAGAUAUCAGGAGGAACGCCGGUGGCGAAGGCGGGUCUCUGGGCAGUAACUGACGCUGAGGAGCGAAAGCGUGGGGAGCGAACAGGAUUAGAUACCCUGGUAGUCCAA